rnacentral:rRNA from 1 species
UACAGAGGUCUCAAGCGUUGUUCGGAUUCAUUGGGCGUAAAGUGUGCGUAGGCGGCGCGGUAAGUCGGGUGUGAAAUCUCGGAGCUUAACUCCGAAACUGCAUUCGAUACUGCCGUGCUUGAGGACUGGAGAGGAGACUGGAAUUUACGGUGUAGCGGUGAAAUGCGUAGAUAUCGGGAGGAACACCUGUGGCGAAAGCGGCGCACUGGACCACAUCUGACGCUGAGGCGCGAAAGCUAGGGGAGCAAACAGG